AUACGGAGGAUCCGAGCGUUAUCCGGAUUUAUUGGGUUUAAAGGGUGCGCAGGCGGCCAUUUAAGUCAGCGGUUAAAUCGUGGGGCUCAACCCCAUUCUGCCGUUGAUACUGGGUGGCUUGAUUGCGGUCGAGGUUGGCGGAAUUCGUUGUGUAGCGGGGAAAUGCAUAGAUAUGACGAAGAACACCGAUUGCGUAGGCAGCUGACCAGACCGCAAAUGACGCUCAUGCACGAAAGUGCGGGGAUCGAACAGGAUUAGAUACCCUGGUAGUCCGCACAGUAAACGAUGAAUACUUGUUUUCGGCGAUAUAAUGACGGAGGCAAAGCGAAAGCGAUAAGUAUUCCACCUGGGGAGUACGCCGGCAACGGUGAAACUCAAAUGAAUUGGCGGGG
rnacentral:rRNA from 1 species